AUACCUGAGUCCUCUAGAAAAUGGC
rnacentral:piRNA from 1 species